UUGUACUGUGGCCUGCACGCUGGCAUCCAAUCAGCCAGUUACAUUGAGUUUGUAGAACAAUCUGUUACAGCCAGCUCAAUGGUGAAAAAAUUAUCGGGAUGGACCCGUGGUAGUGAAUAGCACGUUUCUGAUAAAGAUGUGACCAAGUCUUGUGCUAUGACUGCACUGCAAAGGAGUACUUCCUCAAGGCCCUUGCCACUACGAGCAGUAUAAUCAGUCACGAAUUGACAUUUGCAGCUCCCAUACUGCUUAUGUGUGAAAUAGAAACAGGAUUUCUGGAUUAAUUCAGUAUAAAAGUGUGUUUGUGUGAACGUUUGUUUUUUAUUUUCAUACCCUUAAUAAUUCAACAUUCCGUUAAUUCAGAAUUUUGUUCCAGUCCUGGGAAAUUUCAAUGAAUGAGCUUUUACUGUAUACACCCCUUCUUUCACCGCAUGUGUAAUUUGAGCUCACUGGGUUACUGCAAGAACUUUUUUCAGCCUCAAGGGUAAGAUUUCUAGCUCGGACAAAGCAGCUCCUUAAGGAUGCAAGAAGUUUUACUGUUGUUUUCUACUGUUCCUAUCUGCUUCCCUAAACUUCUUCUCAAAUGUAAAGAAAAUCUAGUAUAUCACGUACAAAAGGUGCUUGUCGCUGACUGUGGGAUUAAAUGUGGUGAAUCCUCUGAGCUAGAAUUGUCCCUGGCCCAUGUCAGUGAAGCUUCAUUGACUAGGGCUUUCCUACAGCCAGGAUGUAAACUUUGAACCUUUUGCAUAUAUCUUAGUUUUAUCCUUGAGUGCCAUCACUGUGUCUGGCAACCUAGUUUCCCUUAAUAACUGUUACCUUUUUUAUCCAUUAUUUCGGAAAAAGAUACUUUUUCUGAGAGCACAUAUGCUAUUUUUGUAUUUGAGUAACUAAUCUCUUGCAAUUUUCAUCUUUCGUAGGUUCACAAUCGAAAUGGGUUAUUUAUUUGUGCUAGUAAGUGGAUGUGGGUAAACCAAGCCAAAACGGACAGCACGUUUGCCAGGGAGAUUGCCCGAUGCUUGUGGCAGGCACAUGAAUUAAUCCACAGGAGUGUUACGAGCAUAAUAUGUAUGCAAAAGCUAAAGGAAGGUGGUGAGGCCAAGCCAGCGUUGACACCACAAAAACUUGGUGCAUAUCUAAAGGCAUACGAGCACUUUGUUUCAAAAACACCAAGCACCGUGGAUACAGAGGCAAGGAGGCUGAAGGACCUGAACAAGCACCUGGCCACCAUGCUUCGGGAUGCAAAAUAAAGAUGGUUUGUGUUAA